CCAAAAUGGAAGCCACAUGUGGCAACAAUCCACACCUGGGAAGAAGAAGUUGGUGUCACGUGUGCCUAUACAGUUUAGAAAGUUUGACAGCAGCUUUACAAGGCGAUAAUGUGUGACACUUGGCUGGAGCUUGCCGAAGAGGAGUAGACUUGUGACACUGCAAACAGUUUGUUAAAUGUUCUUUGUCUCAUCAAAAACAUCCCAUGUUUGAAUGUGAGAGAGGGCUAGACAACACGUUCGUGUUGGAAAUGGCAGCAAGUAGUGUGGACGAAAAAGAGGAAAUGGAGAUUUUGGCGAAGCAACAGCUGUGCUGUAAUGUGAACAAUAUGGGUGUCAAUUCUGAUGAUAUGGAGCGGGAGGAUGUGGGUCAAAGACCUGAAUGGUCUGUAGUGGAAAAAUAUAGGAAGAAGAGAGAUCAUGAUACUGAAAGCAGUGGAGCAUCUAGUAAAGGAAGCAUAAAGAGGGCCAAGGACCUGAGCCCUAGGACCAUGCCUCAGGACUACCUAGCCUGAUGACUCCUUGCUGUCCCCAGUCCACCUGGUCGUGCUGCGCUCCAGUUUCAACUGUUCUGCCUGCGGCUAUGGAACCCUGACCUGUUCACCGGACGUGCUACCUGUCCCAGACCUACUGUUUUCAACUCUUUAGAGACAGCAGGAGCGGUAGAGAUACUCUGAAUGAUUGGCUAUGAAAAGCCAACUGACAUUUACUCCUGAGUUGUCUUGAAAGCACCAUAAAUCCAGAGAAUGCCAGACAUUGAUGACAAAGGUUGAUGACAAAAUCUGUCCACAAAGGACCGCUGCACCACCUUCCUGUUCAAGUGAGGACAGCACAAGGAAUUGGUGCUUGGAGUUCGUCAGUCCUCAAGUGUGGACCAAUAACGCUAGCUUGGUG
rnacentral:lncRNA from 1 species